rnacentral:lncRNA from 1 species
UGUUUUCAGCGUGUGCCCAUCAGGGGCGGGAGACGAGCGGAUGAGCAGAACAGAGUUUGUUGAUAAGGAGGUGAGAUGGCUAAUCUUCAUCUUCAACUUGACUCCAUCUGAAAUCAACUAAAACCCAAGCAGCCGGGACACCCGAUGAUCCAUCCUUAGUCUGGAUCAGCCGAGGUUGGGAGACCUAUCCUAAAUUUGGGCCACACCUUUUAGAAGGCAUCCCAUCAUGUCCUGCACGUGCUCUUCUGCAGAAGGCCAUCACGGGCUUUCUUAUGGGCGUUAUCAGGGGGGUUUAGGACCAUUGGGGACCUUCUCUGGAAGACCAGCAUUGGAGUACCUCUCAAAGAGGUUAGAGAGUGGGAGGGACAUAGGAUAACCUCGAAAUAAACGUGUGGGU